AUGAACGCUGUCUACAGGCUUCACCCCUGCCAGUCGCGGGGAAACGACGGGGAAGCUUGCUUCCCCGGGCGUCGACCGGCGCACGGGUGAGUAACGCGUAUCCAACCUGCCUCUGACUGAGGGAUAACCCGUCGAAAGUCGGCCUAAUACCUCAUGGCAUCGUCUGCGGGCAUCCAACGACGAUUAAAGAUUUCAUCGGUCAGGGAUGGGGAUGCGUCUGAUUAGCUUGUUGGCGGGGUAACGGCCCACCAAGGCUACGAUCAGUAGGGGUUCUGAGAGGAAGGUCCCCCACAUUGGAACUGAGACACGGUCCAAACUCCUACGGGAGGCAGCAGUGAGGAAUAUUGGUCAAUGGGCGGGAGCCUGAACCAGCCAAGUAGCGUGCAGGAUGACGGCCCUAUGGGUUGUAAACUGCUUUUAUGCGGGGAUAAAGUGAGGGACGUGUCCUUCAUUGCAGGUACCGCAUGAAUAAGGACCGGCUAAUUCCGUG
rnacentral:rRNA from 1 species